GUUUGAUCCUGGCUCAGGACGAACGCUGGCGGCGUGCCUAACACAUGCAAGUCGAACGGAACUGUUUUGAAAGAUUUCUUCGGAAUGAAUUUGAUUUAGUUUAGUGGCGGACGGGUGAGUAACGCGUGAGUAACCUGCCUUCAAGAGGGGGAUAACAUUCUGAAAAGGAUGCUAAUACCGCAUGACAUAUCGGAACCACAUGGUUUUGAUAUCAAAGAUUUUAUCGCUUGAAGAUGGACUCGCGUCCGAUUAGUUAGUUGGUGAGGUAACGGCUCACCAAGACCGCGAUCGGUAGCCGGACUGAGAGGUUGAACGGCCACAUUGGGACUGAGACACGGCCCAGACUCCUACGGGAGGCAGCAGUGGGGGAUAUUGCGCAAUGGGGGCAACCCUGACGCAGCAACGCCGCGUGAAGGAUGAAGGUUUUCGGAUUGUAAACUUCUUUUAUUAAGGACGAAAAAUGACGGUACUUAAUGAAUAAGCUCCGGCUAACUACGUGCCAGCAGCCGCGGUAAUACGUAGGGAGCAAGCGUUGUCCGGAUUUACUGGGUGUAAAGGGUGCGUAGGCGGCUUUGCAAGUCAGAUGUGAAAUCUAUGGGCUCAACCCAUAAACUGCAUUUGAAACUGUAGAGCUUGAGUGAAGUAGAGGCAGGCGGAAUUCCCCGUGUAGCGGUGAAAUGCGUAGAGAUGGGGAGGAACACCAGUGGCGAAGGCGGCCUGCUGGGCUUUAACUGACGCUGAGGCACGAAAGCGUGGGUAGCAAACAGGAUUAGAUACCCUGGUAGUCCACGCUGUAAACGAUGAUUACUAGGUGUGGGGGGUCUGACCCCUUCCGUGCCGGAGUUAACACAAUAAGUAAUCCACCUGGGGAGUACGG
rnacentral:rRNA from 1 species